GGUCCCUGAGCGCGAGUUCCGAAGCUCCGAGAGUCCCCACCGCGACCUGGCCUCAUCCACUGGAGUUUCUCUUAGGCGCCUCCGGCCGCCAGGCGAGUGGUCGCUGCGACCACAAGCCCUUGGCAUCUUUCGCUAGCCCGCGGUGGGCGUUUGACGAGACUGAGAGGAUUGUCCCCUAGCCACACCGCAGUGACAUCAGUAAGGACUCACUGCAGGGGGCGGGGCCUGAACUCUGCUCCUGGCCCCUGGCGAUGAAGGACCUGAGUAGUAGUGUCUGACCCGAUGCGACUUUCACAGGUUAAGGGUGACAAGGCUUUCUAUUCUAGGAGGCCUAAAAGAGAGGGCUGUAACCCUGGCCUCCAGUGAGUUCGGAGGUGGGCGUGAUGGUGGCCCUGCCUAGGGGGUAGGGAGGGCGUUUUCUGCCCCCGCCCCCUUCUCCACCAACCCUCGGGUAGGAACCUGCCUACGUGCAUCUCCCAUCCCCGGAAUCACCGGAGACACUGGGACCCGGCCUCGGGCGCCGUCUCUCCGCGGCCGCUGAGUGUCGCUAAUGUCAAACCAGCGACCUGAGCCGGCCCAGUGCCCAGGAGGCGGGGAUCGUGGAGGCGCCCAGGGGGGCUUUGCUUGUCACAGCAGUCUGGGCUGCCCCUAGCCUUUCCUUGUUUUUCCGCCCCCCCCGGCCCCGCCUCCAGCCUCGGCCGGGGCCUAAAGGGUUCCACUGAGUUCGGGGGACCUGGUGCGCACACUUUUCUCCUUCCCAACCCACGCUGAUAUGGGGAUAAAAAGCCUUGUUGCAGCCUAGGGCUGGGAUUAUUUCGGAUUAAAGGGUGCUCGGAUGGGGGGAGAAGGGACGGGAGGGGUUCCGGCCAGCUGAGUGAGGGGCGCCUCUUCCCUGCCUUCCGGCGAGCUGGGGUCGGCGUGGGCCUCCCAGCGAAAAGGGAGAGGGGGAUUCCCCGGCCGGGAGGGGGGAUGGGCCACCCGGACAACAGCGCCCUCCAGGGGCUGCCCCUCCCCCAGCGCUCCAUUCAAGACGGAGAGUGGGCGGGCGGGGAUGGGGAGUCCCCCUCCCCCGGGCCCUCUCCUCCGUUUCCCCUCCCCUCCAGGCCCAGAGUCCGGCACUUUCAGUGGCUGUCACGGUCCGGGCACGCGCGUUCACGGACCUGCACCCGGCAAGUCUCACAAUCGCGCGCACACACAUUCAUUCACACACGCACGCGCACACACCAGCAAAUAAAGGGUCCGGACACCCUUGCGCCCCACCCCCGGCCGAAGAGGGUGGGGGACCCCCUCCCCACCCUCCCCUGCAAGCUUAUUUCAUGUGUGCGCCGCGAGCAGGUACCACAUAAUCAGGCUGUGUCCAGACUUCUCGGGGCUGCAGUAACCAAUCAGACCAGCAGGGGGUGCCAGCGCGUGGCUGGGGAGAGCGCCAAUCCGCGCAUAAACAAAACAAGCCUGGUGAUUGCAGACUGGAAAGCAAAAUGCUGUCGUCAGGCGUGAGACUAGUGGCGGGGCGUCCAGAGUACACGAAAUGUCCGGCGCUCGUCUACCUUCUUCUUUCACCUUGAGCUCAGGCCUAGGGCAGUGCGGGAGCACAGUAGGUGCUCAGUAAGUAUCCAGAGACUUGGAGAGGACAAAGUGGAUCUAGAGAAUCUGACAUCAGGGAAGAGGCUUACCGUAAAGCGGCCCAGGCCUGUCCCCUUUUAUGUGAGAGUUGAGUGAGUCCUCGAGUGUCGUCUCUCUAUAAAAGUGGAGAGGGCCGGCCAGGUGUGGAGGCGCACCCCUGUAAACACAGCCCUUGGGAGGCUGAGGCCGAAGGGUCUGCGUGAGUCUCAGCGUAACCUGGGCUACACAGCCAGAUCCCAUCUCAAAAACAAACAAGAUAAAACCCGGCCUGGAGUGGUGAUCCCAGCACACAGGAGGCUGAGGCAGGAGAGGAGCAUGAGUUUGAGGCCAGCCUGCACUGCAUAGCAAGAUCUUAUCUCGAGAAAAAGAAGAAAGAAGAGCAGAAAGAAAGAGGGACUCAAGGUGCGCAGCCGGGGCCUUGCCCAUGUGCAGACGGUACAUUCAGCAAGUAUCCAGAGCGUACUGUGCACCAGGCCUGAGGCCGGCAGGGGCAAAGCAAAGCUCCCCCCGCCCCGCCCCGAUACAGCCAAUAUGUGAUGCCAGAGACAGAAGAAACAACAUGAGCAAAUUAACAUGUAUCUGUAUCUGUAUAUAUCAGCCACUUUUAGUGAAGGGCCUGCAUGCUUAGCAAGUGUGGGACACUCCUCAGCACACACACUCAAAAAAAGAAAAAAAUUAAACCGAGAAUGGUGGCUCAUACCUGUAAACUCAACACUCAGGAGGCUGAGGCAGGAGGAUCACUGCUUGUUCCAGGCCAGCGGGCUACAGUGAGCUCAAGGCCAGCCAGAACUGCAUAGUGAGACCCUGUCUCAAAAAGACAAAAACAAAAAACAAAACAAAGACCCUGUGGUUAAACAACUGUCAGCUCAUGCCUGUAAUCCCUGCACUCAGGAGGCUGAGACAGGAGGAUAGAAAGUUUGAGCUCAGCUAGACACUUUAGUCAUAAAGUUAUUCUUGCAGCUCUGAUCAGAUCUCAGCAAUGCCCCAUUUAGAAUCGAUCACAAGAAGUUCCACCUUCCAGCCAUGUGGGAAGCCUCAUCCCUGUGCGUGCGUGUGUGCCUGCAUAUGCCCAUGUGUGUACCCCAGGACUCCCCCGACCCAGGCCUGCCUGGGCUCUGGGCCUGGAGCUCCCCCUUUCUGAGCCUCCUCUGCCUCCCUGCCCCCUGUACCCGGCUCCUGAGGCCCCGUCUUCCAAGCCUGCGUUUCCACCUGGGUUGGUUUCCGCAAAGGUACACAUUUGCACGCGGGUGGGUGUGGGUCUCUUCCCUAGCCUCGGGGUCUUGAGCUGUCCACUCCUUUAUUCCCUAAUCUUGGAACACCUGCCAUCAUUAUCCCAACUACCUGGGACUCACAACAGCAUUUAUAGGAGCGGAGGGUUGGCAGUGCACACCUGUCAUCCCACCACGCAGGAAGCUGAGGCAGGAGGAUCGCUGCAAAUUCAAGGCCAGCCUGGGCUACAUAGCAAGACUCUUAUCUCAAGAAACCAAGCCAGCCUGAUGUGCUUGUGCACAGCUCUAACCCCAGCACUGGAGAAGCUGGGGCGGAGGGCCGACAGGAGGCCAGCCUGCACUGCCAAGCUAGACCGGCUCAGAAAGAAAAAGAAAGCAAACUAAACAAGCCAAGCACACCCAGGGCAAAUGCAAACAAAUGCAAAGUCACAGUUUCUGUUCAAAAUGGUCAAACAAUGGUAGGGCGAGGCUGGGUGCCUGGUGGCACAGGUCUGUAACCUCAGCCCCUGGGAGGCUGGAGAAGGGGCUGAAGGUGACGGGGUUGGGGGCAGUUUCUGUCUCAGGGAAGGGGUGACUUUGGGCAGAGGCCAAAUAAAGGGAAAUCAAUCGCACAAA